UGAUAUGGCUCAGUUGGUAGAGCGCACCCUUGGUAAGGGUGAGGUCCCCAGUUCGACUCUGGGUAUCAGCACCACU
rnacentral:tRNA from 1 species